AUUGAACGCUGGCGGCAGGCCUAACAUAUGCAAGUCGAGCGGAUGAAGGGAGCUUGCUCCUGGAUUCAGCGGCGGACGGGUGAGUAAUGCCUAGGAAUCUGCCUGGUAGUGGGGGAUAACGUCCGGAAACGGGCGCUAAUACCGCAUACGUCCUGAGGGAGAAAGUGGGGGAUCUUCGGACCUCACGCUAUCACAUGAGCCUAGGUCGGAUUAGCUAGUUGGUGGGGUAAAGGCCUACCAAGGCGACGAUCCGUAACUGGUCUGAGAGGAUGAUCAGUCACACUGGAACUGAGACACGGUCCAGACUCCUACGGGAGGCAGCAGUGGGGAAUAUUGGACAAUGGGCGAAAGCCUGAUCCAGCCAUGCCGCGUGUGUGAAGAAGGUCUUCGGAUUGUAAAGCACUUUAAGUUGGGAGGAAGGGCAGUAAGUUAAUACCUUGCUGUUUUGACGUUACCAACAGAAUAAGCACCGGCUAACUUCGUG
rnacentral:rRNA from 1 species